rnacentral:lncRNA from 1 species
CUUUUUUGUUUAAAACUCAUUACAAGCCGAGAAGUGAAAAACAAUGUUAUCACCCUAUUCAAAGGGUUGAAAGAGUCUUGUUUGGAGUUGUGUGGGGUUGAAUAAUUAUGUUUGUAAUAUUUCAAAAGCCGAGAAGUGAAAAACAAUGUUAUCACCCUAUUCAAAGGGUUGAAAGAGUCUUGUUUGGAGUUGUGUGGGGUUGAAUAAUUAUGUUUGUAAUAUUUCAGAAG